rnacentral:misc_RNA from 1 species
AAGUCGUAACAAGGUUUCCGUAGGUGAACCUGCGGAAGGAUCAUUAUUGAAAUAAACCUGAUGAGUUGCUGCUGGUUCUCUAGGGAACAUGUGCACGCUUGUCAUCUUUAUAUUUCCACCUGUGCACCUUUUGUAGACUUGGAUAUCUUUCUGAAUGCAUUUUCAGGUUUGAGGAUUGAUUUGCUUGUCUGUCCUUACAUUUCCAGGUCUAUGUUUAUUCAAGUACACCCUGAUUAUGUUAUAGAAUGUAAUAAAGUGAGCCUUUAGCGCUUAUAAACCUUUAUACAACUUUCAGCAACGGAUCUCUUGGCUCUC